rnacentral:rRNA from 1 species
GGACUACUGGGGUAUCUAAUCCUGUUUGCUCCCCACGCUUUCGCGCCUCAGCGUCAGUUGUGGUCCAGUUGGCCGCCUUCGCCACCGGUGUUCUUCCCAAUAUCUACGAAUUUCACCUCUACACUGGGAAUUCCACCAACCUCUCCCACACUCAAGCCUCGCAGUAUCAAGCGCACAUCCUAGGUUAAGCCCAGGGCUUUCACGCCUGACUAACAAGACCGCCUACGCGCCCUUUACGCCCAGUAAUUCCGAACAACGCUUGCCCCCUUCGUCUUACCGCGGCUGCUGGCAC